rnacentral:rRNA from 1 species
UACGUAGGGUGCGAGCGUUGUCCGGAAUCAUUGGGCGUAAAGCGCGUGUAGGCGGCUCGGUAAGUCUGCUGUGAAAGUCCAGGGCUCAACCCUGGGAUGCCGGUGGAUACUGUCGAGCUCGAGUCCGGAAGAGGCGAGUGGAAUUCCUGGUGUAGCGGUGAAAUGCGCAGAUAUCAGGAAGAACACCCGUGGCGAAAGCGGCUCUCUGGAACGGUACUGACGCUGAGACGCGAAAGCGUGGGGAGCGAACAGG